UACGGGGGGGGCAAGCGUUGUUCGGAAUUACUGGGCGUAAAGGGCUCGUAGGCGGCCAACUAAGUCGGAUGUGAAAUCCCCAGGCUUAACCUGGGAACUGCAUCCGAUACUGGAUGGCUUGAAUCCGGGAGAGGGAUGCGGAAUUCCAGGUGUAGCGGUGAAAUGCGCAGAUAUGUGGAGGAACACCGAUGGCGAAGGCAGCCCCCUGGGUUAACACUGACGCUCAUGCACGAAAGCGUGGGGAGCAAACAGG
rnacentral:rRNA from 1 species